rnacentral:rRNA from 1 species
CAGCAGUGGGGAAUAUUGCACAAUGGGGGAAACCCUGAUGCAGCAACGCCGCGUGAGUGAAGAAGUAUUUCGGUAUGUAAAGCUCUAUCAGCAGGGAAGAAGAAAGACGGUACCUGACUAAGAAGCCCCGGCUAACUACGUGCCAGCAGCCGCGGUAAUACGUAGGGGGCAAGCGUUAUCCGGAUUUACUGGGUGUAAAGGGAGCGUAGACGGCUGUGCAAGUCUGAAGUGAAAGCCCGUGGCUCAACCGCGGAACUGCUUUGGAAACUGUAUAGCUUGAGUACUGGAGAGGCAGGCGGAAUUCCUAGUGUAGCGGUGAAAUGCGUAGAUAUUAGGAGGAACACCAGUGGCGAAGGCGGCCUGCUGGACAGAAACUGACGUUGAGGCUCGAAAGCGUGGGGAGCAAACAGGAUUAGA